UGUUCUGUGGCGUAGUUGAUUAACGCACCCUGCCUUGCGGAGUGGGGAGUCGUGGGUUCAAAUCCCAUUGGAACUA
rnacentral:tRNA from 1 species